rnacentral:rRNA from 1 species
CCAAUAGCGUAUAUUAAAGUUGUUGCAGUUAAAAAGCUCGUAGUUGAAUUUCGGGGUCAGCAGGUUGGUCGUGCCAAUGGUAUGCACUGGCCUUGCUGAUUCCUCCCUCUUGAUGAGCCGUAAUGCCAUUAAUUUGGUGUUGCGGGGAAUCAGGACUGUUACUUUGGAAAAAUUAGAGUGUUUAAAGCAGGCAAGCGCUUGAAUACAUUAGCAUGGAAUAAUGAAAUAGGACGUUUGAUCCUAUUUUGUUGGUUUCUAGGAUUGACGUAAUGAUUAAUAGGGAUAGUUGGGGGCAUUAGUAUUCAAUUGUCAGAGGUGAAAUUCUUGGAUUUAUUGAAGACUAACUACUGCGAAAGCAUUUGCCAAGGAUGUUUUCAUUAAUCAAGAACGAAAGUUAGGGGAUCGAAGACGAUCAGAUACCGUCGUAGUCUUAACCAUAAACUAUGCCGACUAGGGAUCGGAUGAUGUUAAUUUUUUAAUGACUCAUUCGGCGCCUUACG